AUCUUAGGCUUCCCGCCAAAAAACUGGAGAGGUUAUGCCGCGCAUUCUGGCGGCAUUACAUCUUGGCAUCGUGUUAUCCUACGGCAUUAACGCAUUUAUGACAAUGUUAUUUUGGUUAUUUUGAAUGUACGUUUUUUUUUCUAAGUUUUCUCCCGUUGUUUUUCUUUAUUAUGGCUGGAAAAGUUUGUUCAGUGUUUGGUUGCAACAAUUACGAUGUUGCUAACUGUUCGAAGUCGUUUUUUAGAUUUCCGAUUGACGAAACACUGUGCAAACAGUGGGUGUUGAAAUGCAAGCGAAGUGACUUGGAUGUUGUGUUUAAAAAGAAUGGACCUGGUCAUUUUAAAUCCAGACGUAUUUGCUCCGACCACUUUAAGAAAGAGGAUUUUCGUAACCCUAACCUGCCAUCUCAAGGUUUGCUUAGAGGUGUUAUACCGACACUGAAACUUCCAGCAUCAAACACUGUUCUGCGAAAAAGUCCCAAGAAAAGAUUAGUGAUUUCCCCUGCUACAGAAAUGGAUGACAGUUUUGCUGAUACAGCUAACUUAGCAUCAGAGGGCAUUCUUCCUGAUGAAAGAAUGCCAAAACGGAGAGUAAAACUGGAGUCUGAGCUGAAAUCCACGCAAAUAAAAUUAAGACAAGCACAAAAGACUAUUUCAAAGCAAAACAAGUUAAUUAAUGUGCUGCGAGAAAAACUCUUAUCCUUGCAAAAAGAAAAUGCAGCAUUGAGUAUGAAGAGCUUACCUGUCUGUAAAAAAACAGCCUGUUAAUGCCCAUGUUCAAGAACCAUAAUUCAAAAAAAAAAAUGAAGGCCGUUGCUACACAGAACAUGACAAAACAUUAUGUUGCCCACAGUGAGAUCUUUGCCUUAUUGGUUUUAAAAUCAUUCAGUGGCUCCCUGUAUUAAUGGCAACAUCAUGAAGCUCCUAAAACUAAAAGUUGGUUGCCUCUGGAGGAGUCUGUGUGUGGUGAUCUUGUGGUAGACAAAAUGUCUUUAAAAGAGAUUAUUACAUAUAAUUCUUCUGCUGAUAUUUUUGAAGGAUAUCCAGAUGUGAGUAAUGAAGUGAAGUGUUCUGAACAUCCCUUGAAUGUGUCUGUGCCACUAAAAAUAGGAGGCAUAAAAAAUUUAUAAACAACGCAAUCAUGAAAUAAUGCUAAAUGCACAGACUUUUCAAUAUCACACAUGACUUACCAUAUAUUAUUUCAAAUGGAAACAAAACUUUAAUGUUUUUUGGUACACCCAUUUACAAUUAUGUAGUUAGAAAUUACUUUAAAAAUUGUGAUGUACCGUAUUGGUCCGAAAAUAGGCUGACCCCUUCUACAGCACACUCAAAAUCAGGGAAAAAUAAAUUUUAACUAACUAAAAUGAUUAUCAGCAGCAUAUUACCACAGUAACACUUCAACUAAGUUAGUAUUUAUUGAACUGACAAAAUGUGUUAUUCUUAAUUACCAAAAUAUUUGAGAGUUCAUAUUUACAUAGGCAUAGGCCUAUUAUUAAAAUAUAGAAAUUACAAAUUACACAAUGAACACAAAACACAUAACUGAAACAUUGACUUUCAAUGACUUUUUAUUCACUGUCCGUUGCCUCAUCAGUUUCAUUGCUUUCAUCACUAUCACUGCUAUCAGAUUUCCUACCACCAUCUUCCCACAAAACGUCAUCUUCCAAACCAUCCAUGGAGUUGGAAAGGCAGCACUUUUUAAAACCAUGCACAAUUGACUCUGGAGAUAUUUUGUCCCAGGCUGUCAUAAUCCACUUACACAUCUGACUCACAGAUGGCUUCUUGAUCUUUCCCCCUGGAGUAAGUGGAUGGUCCCCCUGCAGUAACCAGUCUGAAUAUUGCCUCCUUAGAUUAUCCUUGAAAGGCUUGUUCACUACUACAUCGAGUACCUGUAACUGCGAUGUCAUUCCCCCAGGAAUUACCACGAGGUCAGUAUUACAUUCUGCGACCUUCUUUUUAAAUUCUGGUGUGAGGUGGCCCCUAAAUGCAUCCAACGACACCAAUCCUCGCUUUCUGAGAGCAGCCCCUGGUCACCUAUUCCACACUGCAGACAACCAAUCAAGCAUUAACUGACUGGUCAUCAAACCUUAAUCAUGACACCUCACAACUAUGCCAGGCGGGAAUUUUUCUUUCGGCAAAGUUUUGCGCCUCAAGAUGAUGUAUGGAGGUAGUUUGCAUCCGUCUGAAGUUACACCUAGCAUUGCAGUGAUGUGCAUCUUUUCGUUGCCAGAUGUUUUUAGCAACACAGACUUUGCACCUUUUGCUUCGACAGUAGUGUUGCUAGGCAUGUCAAAGUAAGCAGGCGUUUCAUCGGCGUUGCCAAUCUGGCCAAGGAGGUAAUAAUGUGUUUUCCGUAGGCUUCACACAUGUCGCUGGUAAGCCAACAGCUUUUCAUGGAAAUGUGAUGGCAGGUGUUGAGCCAGAGAUGUUCUUCUUCUAAGCGAGAGACCACUUCUUCGCAUAAAUCGUCUGCACCAACCAAUACUUGCCUUGAAUUCCCUUCGUGGCACAUUCAAUUCAUUGUCUAUUUCCAGUGCCUUGAACUGAAUUACCUCUCUGCUAAUCUGAAGACCUUCACUCCGUUUUUUUUUUUUGACGAAAUCUAGGACACGUUUAUUAAUUUCUAGAUUUCUUCCACUUUUGGGUCCUCGGAACGCUUUUCUCGUUGAAACUGCAUUUUUUAAUUUAUUUGUUUGAGCCCGCCAGCGACGCACAUUCUUCUUUGUCAACACCAUAUUUCCGCCCAGUUUCCACAUUAUUUGUGGUUUCUUCAUAUCUUAUUACACUUACUUUGAAAUUGGCAGAAAAACUACGCCUAAUUCCCCUGCUAGUUGAAGCUUUAACCUCUACAUGAUCAGCCAUUACGAACAAACAAUGGCUUUGAGCACAGUACUCCAUAGAGUCUAGACCUAACAGGUGCGUCAAAUACAGAUCCGGGAUACAUGUUCAGAGAGCUGGAUCCGGAGCUGUGUUUCCGUUUAUCUUCACAUUCUUUUGUAGUGGUGCCAAUAUUUUAUACGGCAAUGGCUACAUUUUCUAAGUUCAUAGAAAUUUUGACGUAAAAACAUUUACCAGUACGUUUACUUUGACGUAAAAAAACCCAAAAUGUUUUCAUGUAAAAGUGAAUGAAUCAACCAUAAAAUAGCCAAUAUUGCAAAUAGGUUUUAUUUUAUCUUGUUACUGUGGGUAUGUACCGGUAUUUAUUUAUUCGUAUUACAACUACAAGUUGCCAACACUGGUAGAAGAGUAAAUAAAGCAUACUACGGUAAAUAACCUUACGGCAAAAUUGCUGUUUUUAAUAAUUGUUUACUGUAAAUACCACAUUUUACAAGCAAAUACAAUUACCGCAGACUGUUAAAUACAGUUCAAAAAUAACCAGAUCGAGCUUUUAAAAGCUAUGUGUUACAAGUGACCACAUCUGUGUACUUAACUUAAAAUAUGAUACGUUAUUGGGGUUAAGUGUGUUUACUAAAUUUCUAAGUUGGAAAAAUUACUAAUGCCACGUAAGUACGGCAUAAUUAUAGGUCAAUGAAUUGUAUAUCUGAUAACAUUUUUAUGCCAUAAGUGAUUAUCCUUGAAAUGUAUGUGUUUAAUUAUACUAUUUUUGCUAGUGCCCCAUUAAAGGCCGACUAGAUUUCAAGGUUGACAAAACUGGCAAAGAAGGUCGGCCUAUUUUCGGACCAAUACGGUAUUCUACGAUGGUAAUAAGGCAUCUUUUCAACACAUGGUUGCAUUUUAUCAGAAAGAUAUAACCAUGAACCCAUGAAUGGCCCUCGGUCUCGAGUGCACAUUGUACAUUUUGUGAACUUAAUAAGCAGGAAAACUUAUUAUAUGGGAACGUCUUAAGUGAGUUUUAGUGUAUUUAUAAAGUUUAAUUGAAAUGACAGUGCAACUAGAAAUAUUCAAGCUAAAGAAAACAAGAAAGCAAUAUUUUUUUUGCAUAGAUUGUUGAUUAGUAAUAAAUAUCAAGAUGAAUUUUAAA